CAGACGCGACUGAGGAGAGCCAGAGCAGUGCCAAACCCAGAGCUGCCACGACCCUCCCCGAGGCUGGCUGCAAGUGACGCCAGCCUGGCGUUGGCAGGAUGCCGAUUUCUCCAUCAGUCAUGCGUCCACUGGUUGGUGCUGGAAGACGGAGAAUCUCCAUCUAGAAACUUCUGACUCAGCCUUGCUCCCCUGCCUGCCACGAGACACACGGCCCAGCUUUGCGUGGCGGGAGAUGUCUCGUGAUUCGUCGUUCGGCUCCCCGGUCUGAUGUCGGGUCGAAGCCGCACGGCAGGCAGCUAAUGCGCACCCACUGCUGUCCCAGGAUGGCGGAGCUGAGACGUGACCCCCCACCCGGGCAUCGGCCAGCCCACAUGUGCGUGCCACGCUUGGCACACGAAGGCUGCCUCCACGUGCCACGCGGCCUGUGUGUGCCCGGCCCGCACCUCCUCUUGCAAAGAGUGUUCUGGUUCCUCUCACGUGAGCCCGAGUGAUUCCGGUGGAUCCUCCCCCCCACCCCCAACGUGCUCCAGUGACCCCGGCCCGGCCCGUGAGCGUCCACCCGGGCCCCCCUGCCCACCUCUUUCUCUCGCAGGUGCACUGCUGCUGCCCUGGUGGGAGGCAUCAGCCCGCAGCUGCCACCUUAGCCCGGCCUGGGGGGGGGCCGGCCCAGAUGGAGCCGCCCAGAGGAAAGGAGCCGCCAGGUGUAGGCCCUACACACUUCUGGGCACCUAGUUUGAGGUUCCGGACCCGGCCCGAAGGUCAGACCUCUCGGCCCUGAGCCACUAAGUUCCCUUCUGAGGUGGGUUCGUACCCCCGGCGACACUGAGCCUGGACGCAGGAGCUGCGGUGGACCCGUCCCUCCCCGGGCGGCCCUGCCGCGCAGCCUCUGCCCCUUGUCCCUGGGGUCCAGCCCCG